UACGUAGGGUGCGAGCGUUGUCCGGAUUUAUUGGGCGUAAAGAGCUCGUAGGCGGUGUGUCGCGUCGGCCGUGAAAACCUGCAGCUUAACUGUGGGCUUGCGGUCGAUACGGGCAUCACUGGAGUUCGGCAGGGGAGACUGGAAUUCCUGGUGUAGCGGUGAAAUGCGCAGAUAUCGGGAGGAACACCGGUGGCGAAGGCGGUUCUCUGGGCCUUACCUGACGCUGAGGAGCGAAAGCGUGGGGAGCGAACGGG
rnacentral:rRNA from 1 species